rnacentral:rRNA from 1 species
UACGUAGGGGGCAAGCGUUGUCCGGAUUUAUUGGGCGUAAAGAGCGUGUAGGCGGCCUGACAGGUCUGCUGUGAAAACUCGAGGCUCAACCUCGAGAUGUCGGCGGAAACCGUCUGGCUAGAGUCCGGAAGAGGAGAGUGGAAUUCCUGGUGUAGCGGUGAAAUGCGCAGAUAUCAGGAAGAACACCUAUGGCGAAGGCAACUCUCUGGGACGGUACUGACGCUGAGACGCGAAAGCGUGGGGAGCGAACAGG